AACAAACGCUGGCGGCGUGCCUAAUACAUGCAAGUCGAACGGGGAAAGCUUUCGGGUGAGUACUAGUGGCGCACGGGUGAGGAACGCGUGGAUAAUCUGCCUUAGAGUGGGGGAUAACUAGUCGAAAGAUUAGCUAAUACCGCAUAAGACCACAGGAGCUGCGGCUCAAGGGGUCAAAGGGUUUUCGCUCUAAGAUGAGUCCGCGUAAGAUUAGCUAGUUGGUGAGGUAACGGCUCACCAAGGCGACGAUCUUUAACUGGUCUGAGAGGAUGAUCAGACACACUGGAACUGAGACACGGGCCAGACUCCUACGGGAGGCAGCAGGAGGGAAUAUUGCACAAUGGAGGAAACGCUGAUGCAGCGACGCCGCGUGAGUGAUGAAGGCCUUCGGGUCGUAAAGCUCUGUCGCAGGGGAAUAACACAAUGAAGGUACCCUGUAAGAAAGGAUCGGCUAACUUCGUGCCAGCCGCCGCCGUAACAC
rnacentral:rRNA from 1 species